UACGUAGGGUGCAAGCGUUGUCCGGAAUUAUUGGGCGUAAAGAGCUCGUAGGCGGUUUGUCGCGUCUGCCGUGAAAACCUGAGGCUCAACCUCGGGCGUGCGGUGGAUACUGCCGGGCUAGAGGACGGUAGAGGCGAGUGGAAUUCCCGGUGUAGCGGUGAAAUGCGCAGAUAUCGGGAGGAACACCAGUAGCGAAGGCGGCUCGCUGGGCCGUUCCUGACGCUGAGACGCGAAAGCUAGGGGAGCGAACAGG
rnacentral:rRNA from 1 species